rnacentral:rRNA from 1 species
GAUGAACGCUAGCGGGAGGCCUAACACAUGCAAGCCGAGCGGUAUUGUUUCUUCGGAAAUGAGAGAGCGGCGUACGGGUGCGGAACACGUGUGCAACCUGCCUUUAUCUGGGGGAUAACCUUUCGAAAGGAAGAUUAAUACUCCAUAAUAUAUUGAACGGCAUCGUUUGAUAUUGAAAGCUCCGGCGGAUAGAGAUGGGCACGCGCAAGAUUAGCUAGUUGGUGAGGUAACGGCUCACCAAGGCGAUGAUCUUUAGGGGGCCUGAGAGGGUGAUCCCCCACACUGGUACUGAGACACGGACCAGACUCCUACGGGAGGCAGCAGUGAGGAAUAUUGGUCAAUGGGUGCAAGCCUGAACCAGCCAUCCCGCGUGAAGGACGACUGCCCUAUGGGUUGUAAACUUCUUUUGUAUAGGGAUAAACCUACCCUCGUGAGGGUAGCUGAAGGUACUAUACGAAUAAGCACCGGCUAACUCCGUGCCAGCAGCCGCCGUAAGAC